UACGGAGGAUGCAAGCGUUAUCCGGAAUGAUUGGGCGUAAAGCGUCCGCAGGUGGCUGUGUAAGUCUGCUGUCAAAGAGCGAAGCUCAACUUCGUAAAGGCAGUGGAAACUACACGGCUAGAGUGCGUUCGGGGCAGAGGGAAUUCCUGGUGUAGCGGUGAAAUGCGUAGAUAUCAGGAAGAACACCGGUGGCGAAAGCGCUCUGCUAGGCCGCAACUGACGCUGAGAAGCGAAAGCAUGGGGAGCGAACAGG
rnacentral:rRNA from 1 species